UGACCUCGAUCAGUAGGACCCAGUCCCGGGUUUCCCCCA
rnacentral:rRNA from 1 species